AGCGAACGCUGGCGGCAGGCCUAAAACAUGCAAGUCGAACGCCGUAGCAAUACGGGGUGGCAGACGGGUGAGUAACACGUGGGAACGUGCCUUUUGGUUCGGAACAACCCAGGGAAACUUGGGCUAAUACCGGAUAAGCCCUUACGGGGAAAGAUUUAUCGCCAAAAGAUCGGCCCGCGUCUGAUUAGCUAGUUGGUGAGGUAAUGGCUCACCAAGGCGACGAUCAGUAGCUGGUCUGAGAGGAUGAUCAGCCACAUUGGGACUGAGACACGGCCCAAACUCCUACGGGAGGCAGCAGUGGGGAAUAUUGGACAAUGGGCGCAAGCCUGAUCCAGCCAUGCCGCGUGAGUGAUGAAGGCCCUAGGGUUGUAAAGCUCUUUUGUGCGGGAAGAUAAUGACGGUACCGCAAGAAUAAGCCCCGGCUAACUUCGUGCCAGCAGCCGCGGUAAGAC
rnacentral:rRNA from 1 species